rnacentral:misc_RNA from 1 species
UGGAUACCCCGACACACCCGAA